AACGAACGUUGGCGGCGUGCUUAACACAUGCAAGUCGAGGGAGAAGCUCGCUUCGGUGAGUGGAGACCGGCGCACGGGUGAGUAACACGUGGAUAAUCUACCUUCGGGUCUGGGAUAACAUUUCGAAAGGAAUGCUAAUACUGGAUACGUCAGCCUUGGCUGGGAAAGCUCCGGCGCCCGAAGAUGAGUCCGCGUCCCAUUAGGUAGUUGGUGAGGUAAGAGCUCACCAAGCCGAAGAUGGGUAGCUGGUCUGAGAGGAUGAUCAGCCACACUGGGACUGAGACACGGCCCAGACUCCUACGGGAGGCAGCAGUGGGGAAUCUUGCGCAAUGGACGAAAGUCUGACGCAGCAACGCCGCGUGGGUGAUGAAGGCCUUCGGGUCGUAAAGCCCUGUCAGAAGGGAAGAUAAUGACGGUACCUUCAAAGGAAGCACCGGCUAACUCCG
rnacentral:rRNA from 1 species